GAUGAACGCUGGCGGCGUGCCUAAUACAUGCCAGUCGAGCGAACGGACGAGAAGCUUGCUUCUCUGAUGUUAGCGGCGGACGGGUGAGUAACACGUGGAUAACCUCCCUAUCAGACUGGGAUCACUUCGGGAAACCGGAGCUAAUACCGGAUGAUAUUUUGAUCCGCAUGGUUCAAAAGUGAAAGACGGUCUUGCUGUCACUUCUCGAUGGAUCCGCGCUGCAUUAGCUAGUUGGUAAGGUAACGGCUUACCAAGGCAACGAUGCAUAGCCGACCUGAGAGGGUGAUCGGCCACACUGGAACUGAGACACGGUCCAGACUCCUACGGGAGGCAGCAGUAGGGAAUCUUCCGCAAUGGGCGAAAGCCUGACGGAGCAACGCCGCGUGAGUGAUGAAGGUCUUCGGAUCGUAAAACUCUGUUAUUAGGGAAGAACAGAUGUGUAAGUAACUGUGCACAGCUUGACGGUACCUAAUCAGAAAGCCACGGCUAACUACGUG
rnacentral:rRNA from 1 species